UACGUAGGGUGCAAGCGUUAUUCGGAAUCACUGGGCGUAAAGCGUGCGUAGACGGUCGUGCAAGUCGGGUGUGAAAGCCCCAGGCUCAACCUGGGAAUUGCAUUCGAGACUGCUCGGCUAGGGUGCGGAAGAGGGAAGCGGAAUUUCCGGUGUAGCGGUGAAAUGCGUAGAUAUCGGAAGGAACACCAGUGGCGAAAGCGGCUUCCUGGUCCGACACCGACGUUCAGGCACGAAAGCGUGGGGAGCAAACAGG
rnacentral:rRNA from 1 species